rnacentral:misc_RNA from 1 species
UUUUAGUUGCCAGGCCAUCCCUCAAGUACUCUGGAGCUACAUAGCCAUAGGUUCCAACAACUCGUGUUGCAGAGGCUUCUGCAUCAUUAGUUAUCCCCAUAAGUUUUGACAAACCAAAAUCUGAAAUCUUUGCUCUAAAAGAAUCAUCAAGCAGGAUGUUACUUGUCUUUAUAUCUCGAUGCACAUAAUGCGGCUUGGUGUGCUCAUGAAUGUAUUCCAGGCCUCUAGCAGCAUCAAGUGCAAUUUGGACCCUCAUGAUCCAAGAGAGUGGUGUGUGGCCUUUGUUCUGAGGGUCAUUCAAGUGGCUUUUAAGAGAACCCUUCUGGGCAUAUUCAUAAACGAGGAAUAAUUCAUCAUUACUGACUGCAUAGCCGAUCAAUUCUACCAAAUUCAAAUGAUGAACUUUACAUAGAACUUUCAUCUCAGCAGUAAAUUCUUUUGUUUUAGUAGCAGUCAUUCUUUUGAUUGCAACUUCCUGGUUGCGAAGAAUGGCGUAAUAGACAGAACCAUAGGUUCCAUGACCAAGAAGAUUGGAGUCAGAAAAUCCAUCAGUAGAAGAUAGAAUGUCUUCAUAGGCGAAAACAAGAGGUUUUUCCAUAUCAAAG